rnacentral:pre_miRNA from 12 species
UGGCGGCCGGGGCGGGAGCACGCGGGCGGGGCCGGCCCGGCUGCCUGGCUUAACCCUGACGUGCCGCUCGUCCCGCCUGCAGCCCUAGGCGGCGUCG